CCGUGCUAGGCGGGGUGCUAGCGGUGCCCUGUACCCGUAAUCCGCUCUAGCGGGGCUGAAUCCCCUCUCGAGGGGCUGGAGCCCGAGGUCAGCGCCCCGUCAGUGGCGGUGAUCGUCCGGUCCCGCUGCGAUGGAGACCCGUGAACCAGGUCAGGUCCGGAAGGGAGCAGCCUUAAGCGGUCAUCUUCAGGCGUUGCGGGAGCGCUGGACGGGAGUCACGAGACGGUGGCAGCGCCUCGGGUGUCGGCCUCGACAGAGGGUGCACGG
rnacentral:SRP_RNA from 1 species